UACGUAGGGGGCUAGCGUUAUCCGGAAUUACUGGGCGUAAAGGGUGCGUAGGUGGUUUCUUAAGUCAGAGGUGAAAGGCUACGGCUCAACCGUAGUAAGCCUUUGAAACUGGGAAACUUGAGUGCAGGAGAGGAGAGUGGAAUUCCUAGUGUAGCGGUGAAAUGCGUAGAUAUUAGGAGGAACACCAGUUGCGAAGGCGGCUCUCUGGACUGUAACUGACGCUGAGUCACGAAAGCGUGGGUAGCAAACAGGAUUAGAUACCCUGGUAGUCCCUGAG
rnacentral:rRNA from 1 species